rnacentral:misc_RNA from 1 species
AGGAGCAUCUCUGCUAUGCUAAAGAUGCGUUUGAUUAGAGUCGGUUGUAGAGCAACUUCUUGCCAACCAGCUAGGACCUGCCCUUCGUACUUCCGAGUCCUUUCAGCGUAAACUGAUCGAAAGGAACAUCCCUUAACAAUAUGGCAGAACAAGGAACAGUAAAGUGGUUCAACGACGCCAAGGGCUACGGCUUCAUCAGCCGGCAGACUGGCGAGGAUGUAUUUGUCCAUUUCUCGGCGAUCCAGGCGGGCGGCUUCAAGAGCCUGCAGGAAGGCCAGACCGUGGAGUUCGAUGUGACCAAGGGGCCGAAAGGCUGGCAAGCUGAAAACGUCCGGCCGCUCUAAGAGCGGCAACUUUUCAUAGCGAGCGUGCCAGCCAACCGAACCUGGGGCUGGCACGCGUUA